rnacentral:rRNA from 1 species
CCUANGGGAGGCUGCAGUCGAGAAUAUUCCACAAUGGGCGAAAGCCUGAUGGAGCGACGCCGCGUGCGGGAAGAAGGCCCUUGGGUUGUAAACCGCUUUUCUUUGGGAAAAAUGUAAUGAUGGUACCAAAGGAAUAAGAGGUUACUAACUCUGUGCCAGCAGUAGCGGUAAUACAGAGACCUCAAGCGUUAUCCGGAUUUAUUGGGCGUAAAGCGCGUGUAGGCGGCUUUGUUAGUCAGAUGUCAAAGCCCCGAGCUCAACUCGGGAACUGCAUUUGAAACGGCAAAGCUUGAGAGAGGGAGAGAUCAAUGGAACGUAUGGUGUAGCAGUGAAAUGCGUUGAUAUCAUACGGAACACCAAAGGCGAAGGCAUUUGGUUGGCCCUCAUCUGACGCUGAGACGCGAAAGCGUGGGUAGCGAAUGGGAUUAGAUACCCGANUANUC